GACAGGGGGUGAGGGUCAGAUGUCUGUGUGGGAGACCAGGGCCCAGACGGGGUCUCAGGACAGCGAUGGCAGGUGUUCAGGCUCAGGGUUUCCUAAGGAAAUGGGGAGAGGAUGGAGGACCACCCUCCUUGGCAGGGACCCUCAAACUCAGUUUGGUCUCUGAACUAGGGGUCCUCCUGGGUCCUCAGCAGCCCCUGUCCCACUUUGAGACACAGGUCAGAAGCUCCCAGGACAGGCACCGGGCGUCUGACCUCCUGCCCCUCCCCCGCUUUGCAGGUCAGCCCAAGGCCGCACCCUCGGUCACUCUGUUCCCGCCGUCCUCUGAGGAGCUCACCGCCAACAAGGCCACCCUGGUGUGUCUGAUCAGUGACUUCUACCCGGGCAGCGUGACGGUGGCCUGGAAGCAAGAUGGCACCACCGUCACGCAGGGCGUGGAGACCACCAAGCCCUCGAAGCAGAGCAACAACAAGUACGCGGCCAGCAGCUACCUGAGCCUGUCGCCCAGCACGUGGAAGUCGCACAGCAGCUACAGCUGUCAGGUCACGCACGAGGCGGGCACCGUGGAGAAGACGGUGUCCCCCUCCCAGUGUUAGGCCCCCGGGCCCCCACCCUCGGGGGCUUCCUCACCCAGACCCCCCUCCCCACUCUCCAUGGACCCCUGAGCCUCUGCCCAGGUCAGCUCAGACCAGGCGGGUCUCAUCCCGCCCUGUUCCUGCUCCUCCUUAAUAAAGACCUUGUCAUUUAUCAUCUGA